UCAGAGGCUUAAAAAAGCAGAACGGAAUCUAAAACACGGAACUUUACACAAGUCUUCCAGUCAAACUAAAAUACCAAAGAAAGGAACAUGAAAAACAGUCUCAGAAAUGUGUUUUAAAGGGGCAGUUCACGCUAAAAACAGGUUAUUUACAUGUCUCAGAAAUGUGUUUUAAAGGGGCUGUUCACGCUAAAAACAGGUUAUUUACAUGUCUCAGAAAUGUGUUUUAAAGGGGCAGUUCACGCUAAAAACAGGUUAUUUACAUGUCUCAGAAAUGUGUUUUAAAGGGGCAGUUCACGCUAAAAACAGGUUAUUUACAUGUCUCAGAAAUGUGUUUUAAAGGGGCUGUUCGCGCUAAAAACAGGUUAUUUACAUGUCUCAGAAAUGUGUUUUAAAGGGGCUGUUCACGCUAAAAACAGGUUAUUUACAUGUCUCAGAAAUGUGUUUUAAAGGGGCAGUUCACGCUAAAAACAGGUUAUUUACAUGUCUCAGAAAUUUAUUUAAAGGGACUGUUUCUCAGAUGUUUUAAUGUCUCCAGAAAAUGUGAUGUCUGAUGUCAAGUAGAGUCAAAGAUAUUUAAUAUAGAUUCUAUAUAAGGAGAAUAUGUAUUAGGAGAAAUCAAAGCCCGAAAUGGAGAAACAUUGGUACAAGUAAACUUACAUUUUUUUUAGGGUGAACUAUCCCUUUAAGAUAUGAAUGUAUGUGUAUAUGAAACUAUCGUGUCUUUAAAGGUACAGUAGCUAUAUUUAUAUUGUAAACUAUGUUGUACUUACUGUACAUAGAAAUGUCUGUUGUAUAUAAGAGGCAUUCUGUAUUUAUUUUCAAUGUCAUUUUAAGGCUUCGUGUAUUUAUGCUGAAAUAAACUCCUUAUAUUUUA